CCUACGGGCGGCAGCAGUGGGGAAUAUUGCACAAUGGGGGAAACCCUGAUGCAGCGACGCCGCGUGAGUGAAGAAGUAAUUCGUUACGUAAAGCUCUAUCAGCAGGGAAGAAAAUGACGGUACCUGAGUAAGAAGCCCCGGCUAACUACGUGCCAGCAGCCGCGGUAAUACGUAGGGGGCAAGCGUUAUCCGGAUGUACUGGGUGGAAAGGGGGCGUAGACGGUGCGCCAAGUCUGGAGUGAAAUGCCGCAGCGUAACGGCGGAACUGCUUUGGAAACUGGCGAACUAGAGUGCAGGAGGGGUAAGUGGAAUUCCUAGUGUAGCGGUGAAAUGCGUAGAUAUUAGGAGGAACACCAGGGGCGAAGGCGGCUGACUGGACUGUAACUGACGUUGAGGCUCGAAGGCGUGGGGAGCAAACAGGAUUAGAUACCCGAGUAGUC
rnacentral:rRNA from 1 species